rnacentral:tRNA from 1 species
AAAACCGAAGACUAAGAAUCUUCUCAAGGUA